rnacentral:tRNA from 1 species
GGCCAGGUAGCUCAGUCGGUAGAGCAAGGGACUGAAAAUCCCUGUGUCGACAGUUCGAUUCUGUCCCUGGCCACCA